AUUGAACGCUGGCGGCAGGCUUAACACAUGCAAGUCGAGCGAGCGGCGGACGGGUGAGUAAUGUCUGGGAAACUGCCUGAUGGAGGGGGAUAACUACUGGAAACGGUAGCUAAUACCGCAUACUAUCAGAUGAACCCAGAUGGGAUUAGCUAGUAGGUGGGGUAAGGGCUCACCUAGGCGACGAUCCCUAGCUGGUCUGAGAGGAUGACCAGCCACACUGGAACUGAGACACGGUCCAGACUCCGACGGGAGGCAGCAGUGGGGAAUAUUGCACAAUGGGCGCAAGCCUGAUGCAGCCAUGCCGCGUGUAUGAAGAAGGCCUUCGGGUUGUAAAGCACUUUCAGCGGGGAGGCGUUACUCGCAGAAGAAGCACCGGCUAACUCCGUGCCAGCAGCCGCGGUAAUAC
rnacentral:rRNA from 1 species